rnacentral:rRNA from 1 species
GAUGAACGCUGGCGAGAUGCCUUACACAUGCAAGUCGUACGGGGAUUUUUAAUUCAAGUGGCGGACGGGUGAGUAACACGUGAGAAUUUGCCUUUAGGAGGGGGACAACAAUUGGAAACGAAUGCUAAUACCCCAUAUGCUUUCGAGUGAAAUGGAUUUUAUCCGCCUAGAGAGAAGCUCGCGGCUGAUUAGCUUGUUGGUAAGGUAAGAGCUUACCAAGGCGACGAUCAGUAUCUGGUUUGAGAGGACGAUCAGACACACUGGAACUGAGACACGGUCCAGACUCCUACGGGAGGCAGCAGUGGGGAAUUUUCCGCAAUGGGCGAAAGCCUGACGGAGCAAUACCGCGUGAGGGAAGAAUGCCUAUGGGUUGUAAACCUCUUUUUCUAGGGAGGAAUAAAAUGACGUGUACCUGAAGAAUAAGCAUCGGCUAACUCCGUG